rnacentral:rRNA from 1 species
UACGGAGGGUGCAAGCGUUACCCGGAAUCACUGGGCGUAAAGCGCGUGUAGGCGGCAGACCAAGUCGGCGGUGAAAGCGCCCGGCUCAACUGGGCGAGGUCCGUGGAAACUGGUCAGCUGGAGGACGGUAGAGGCGAGUGGAAUUCCCGGUGUAGUGGUGAAAUGCGUAGAGAUCGGGAGGAACACCUGUGGCGAAGGCGGCUCGCUGGGCCGGUCCUGACGCUGAGACGCGAAGGCGUGGGGAGCGAACGGG